GCACAAUAAGGGUUUUUCUCUCUCAUUGUGCGUAACGACGGGUGACUUAUGUCUUGGUUCUGCCUGGGCGUGGGGGAUGCGUUAAUACCGAAAGUGUCCUUCCGGGGAAAUCCUUCUCGACAAAGCAGGGGACCUUCUGGCCUUGCCCUAUCGGAUGAGUAUAGGCUCAAUUAGGUUACUAUCUAUGUAUUGGCUCACCGGAUGAACAAUCCCUCUGUGACUUAAAAACAUGACCAACCCCUCUGGAACUGAGACACGGGCCAUAUUCCUACAGGAGGGAAAACCGGAGAAUAUCGUGCCACGGGAAAGAGCAUGGUCUUACCAUGGUAAAAUUCUUUCGAAGGUCUUCAUAUUGACAAUCCCUUUAAAUUAGGAGGAAGGUAACUUCCUGACUACAUUGCCGUUAAUCCAUUACCGACAGAAUAAGCACCGGCUAACUCUGUGCCAGCAGCCGCGGUAAUA
rnacentral:rRNA from 1 species